AACGCACAUUGCGCCUCCGGGUAUUCCUGGAGGCAUGCUUGUUCGAGCGUCGUUAAAGACCAUAAGGCUUUGCCUUGCGUUGAGCUGUUGAUCUUUCGGUCAACAACUUCAAACUGAUUGGCGUCUGAAGUUUAGCCCAAGCACAGCAACAUGUGACUGUAAGCUAGCGACGGAUUGCCUAUUCUAUCCAUACAGGUCGACCUCGGAUCAAGCAAGACUACCCGCUGAACUUAA
rnacentral:misc_RNA from 1 species